rnacentral:lncRNA from 1 species
GCAAAGUUGACUAAAUUUUAUAUUUCUUGUCCUCUAAAUAUUUUGAUAAUUUCUGGAUUGAUGCAGUGAUGUUUUUGUUCCUUCUGUAUUUAUAAAUGAAACACCUUUUUUUAGUGUUUCUAAACCUAAAAUCUACUUGGUUUGAAGUCAAGUGGUUGGAACACUGUUUGACUUUUAUUUGAAGCAUGUUGUUGAUUGAAAAUUUCAUUGAGGAAGUUUUCAAUCAGUGUGAUCAGUUUGAUUCUGUAAUGAGCACAGCACCUAAUAUUUUGAGGAGCUCUGUUUUGAGGACCAAUGCUUAACGUGGA